UACGAAGGGGGCUAGCGUUGUUCGGAUUUACUGGGCGUAAAGCGCACGUAGGCGGAUCGAUCAGUCAGGGGUGAAAUCCCAGAGCUCAACUCCAGAACUGCCUUUGAUACUGGCGAUCUCGAGUCCGGGAGAGGUGAGUGGAACUGCGAGUGUAGAGGUGAAAUUCGUAGAUAUUCGCAAGAACACCAGUGGCGAAGGCGGCUCACUGGCCCGGUACUGACGCUGAGGUGCGAAAGCGUGGGGAGCAAACAGG
rnacentral:rRNA from 1 species